rnacentral:rRNA from 1 species
UGCCAGCAGCCGCGGUAAUACGGAGGGGGUUAGCGUUGUUCGGAAUGUACUGGGCGUAAAGACGCACUGUAGGCGGAUUAGUAAGUUAGGGGUGAAAUCCCGGGGCUCAACCCCGGAACUGCCUCUAAUACUGCUAGUCUUGAGUUCGAGAGAGGUGAGUGGAAUUCCGAGUGUAGAGGUGAAAUUCGUAGAUAUUCGGAGGAACACCAGUGGCGAAGGCGGCUCACUGGCUCGAUACUGACGCUGAGGUGCGAAGGCGUGGGUAGCGAACGGGAUUAGAUA